UGAAAUCUGGCUCUCGGGCCCGAGUUGUAAUUUGUAGAGGAUGCUUUUGAUGCGGUGCCUUCCGAGUUCCCUGGAACGGGACGCCAUAGAGGGUGAGAGCCCCGUCUGGUUGGAUGCCAAAUCUCUGUAAAGCUCCUUCAACGAGUCGAGUAGUUUGGGAAUGCUGCUCUAAAUGGGAGGUAUAUGUCUUCUAAAGCUAAAUACCGGCCAGAGACCGAUAGCGCACAAGUAGAGUGAUCGAAAGAUGAAAAGCACUUUGAAAAGAGAGUUAAAAAGUACGUGAAAUUGUUGAAAGGGAAGCGUUUAUGACCAGACUUGGGCUUGUUUAAUCAUCCGGGCUUCUGCCCGGUGCACUUGUUCAGCUCAGGCCAGCAUCAGUUUUCCCCGGGGGAUAAAGGCGGCGGGAAUGUGGCUCUCUUCGGGGAGUGUUAUAGCCCACCGUGUAAUACCCUGGGGGGGACUGAGGUUCGCGCAUCUGCAAGGAU
rnacentral:rRNA from 2 species